CCCUGUUCUCAGGGCGGGGUGCAAUUCCCCACCGGCGGUAUGCGGGCAUGACCCGUAAGCCCGCGAGCGGCGCUUGCAUCGCAGGCGUGUCAGCAGAUCCGGUGAGAUGCCGGAGCCGACGGUCAUAGUCCGGAUGAAAGAGAACGUGU
rnacentral:ncRNA from 2 species